GUAACGGCGAGUGAACCGGGAAGAGCUCAAGCUGAAAAUCUUCGGAAUUGUAGUCUAUAGUAACGGACUCGCGCAAGCUCGGGUAUAAAUCCGUUCUUGGAACUGGGUGCCAGAGAGGGUUAGAGCCCCGUCUUUGACUGCGAGUUUUGCGCGUGACGAGUUUGUUACGGAGAGUCGGUUUGCUUGGGAAUGCAGGCCAAAAUGGGUGGUAAACUUCAUCUAAAGCUAAAUAUUGGCGAGAGACCGAUAGCGAACAAGUACUGUGAAGGAAAGAUGGAAAGAACUUUGAAAAGAGAGUGAAAAAGGGCUUGAAAUUGUUAAGAGGAGAAGUGAUUGGAGCAUAUCAUACUGUGUGGGGUCCCAAGGUCGGGAUUUAUCCUGGCCUGCACCAUCCCAUGUAGUUGGUCAGCAUCGAUUUUGGCUGGGGGAGAAAGCGUGCGACCUUGAUGGCUUCGGCUUGAUGGUCGUGUGUGCAACCCUGGUUGGGAUCGAGGCAGAACAAGUCUGCGCCUUGCGGCCGGCCCCUUUUACGUUUUUUGCAUGUGAUCACACCCUUUUGGCGUCUGGUUAUCUGUGAGGGAUGAGUGGAGGGAGCGCUGGACCUGCGGACUCAAGAUGCUGACACAAAUGGCUUCAAUCAGCCCGUCUUGAAACACGGACCAAGGAGUCUAACACAUAUGCGAGUAGUAAGGUGGCAAACCUUGGAUGCGCAAUGAAAGUGAAUGUAGGUGGGAUCCGCAAGGUGCACCAUCGACCGACCAGGAUCUUUUGUGAAAGGUUUGAGUAAGAGCAUAUUUGUUGGGACCCGAAAGAUGGUGAACUAUGCCUGAAUAGGGUGAAGCCAGAGGAAACUCUGGUGGAGGCUCGUAGCGGUACUGACGUGCAAAUCGUUCGUCAAAUUUGGGUAUAGGGGCGAAAGACUAAUCGAACCAUCUAGUAGCUGGUUCCCUCCGAAGUUUCCCUCAGGAUAGCUGGAGCUCAUACAAGUUU
rnacentral:rRNA from 2 species